GUUCAAUAAAUUGGCCCAUACCCGUUCCUUCAGACAUAUGAAAACAAAAUGUAGGGUUUCAUAAAGUUAAAGCUUUCCAUUUCCUCUGUUUGCUCUCAACCACAGGUGAAACAAGACGUCUGCGCCACUUCUGAAUUGCCAAGAUACUGAGGUUGCUACUUUGGGUCAUCAACUGCUUGACCUUGAAUUGCUCCUCCGCCUUGAUAUUCAGCUCUCAGAAUUGAGUUCUCUGGUGGAUGGGAUUUGUUAUGUUUUUUUGUGCUAAAUCGAAGGUUCUAGACCCCUAGUCCAUCUUGCAUGUCCAUGUUUGGAAGGGAUAGAGAUUUUGGGAUGCUCGGACCCAUGAAAACUUGUACAUGAUGCUGUCGCCCAGGUGUACUCAUAGCAUAAGAAUCCAAUGACCCUCUCACUUUAUUAAGAGUCCAUUUUGAUGGCAGAAGUUCUAUAGCCUAGCAACAUUUUCCUCUUUUUAGUGCUAUUAGAGUAUGUAAGUAUUGACUGUGAUGAAUGCUCUUUGUAAAUGCUAUAGCCUUCAACCGCCUUCUCUUCUUUCAUCCUUUCCUUGCUGUAAUUCAGAUGUAAGGACAUUGUAAUUUGUCACUAUUUAAGAUGCUCCUUGCUUUGCUGUCUAGUUGUUGAAAAGAAGUAAACUUGAAUUCACCUCCA